UUUGGAGGACAUCGUCACGCGUACAUAUCCAGCCUCCGUCGCUCAGGAGAGGGACGAGGAUAUCCUACCGACAUCCCCCGUUGAUACCGCAAUACCAUCCCGUCACCCACACGAGGGUAGUCGCCCGGAGGACGCACCGGUUAGUCCUUCUGUUGCAUCGAUCGAGGGUUCUCCCUGAACACCUUCCCCGGAAGUUCAGG